rnacentral:rRNA from 1 species
UACGUAGGGUGCGAGCGUUAAUCGGAAUUACUGGGCGUAAAGCGUGCGCAGGCGGUCUGUUAAGACCGAUGUGAAAUCCCCGGGCUUAACCUGGGAACUGCAUUGGUGACUGGCAGGCUUUGAGUGUGGCAGAGGGAGGUAGAAUUCCACGUGUAGCAGUGAAAUGCGUAGAGAUGUGGAGGAAUACCGAUGGCGAAGGCAGCCUCCUGGGCCAACACUGACGCUCAUGCACGAAAGCGUGGGAGCAACAGG